rnacentral:rRNA from 1 species
GACGGAGGAUGCAAGCGUUAUCCGGAAUGAUUGGGCGUAAAGCGUCCGCAGGCGGCAGUUCAAGUCUGCUGUCAAAGACCGGGGCUUAACUUCGGAAAGGCAGUGGAAACUGAACAGCUAGAGUAUGGUAGGGGCAGAAGGAAUUCCUGGUGUAGCGGUGAAAUGCGUAGAGAUCAGGAAGAACACCGGUGGCGAAAGCGCUCUGCUAGGCCGCAACUGACACUGAGGGACGAAAGCUAGGGGAGCGAAUGGG